rnacentral:Y_RNA from 1 species
GCCUGGUCCGAGUGCAGUGGUGUUUACAACUAAUUGAUCACAACCAGUUACAGAUUCCUUUGUUCCUUCUCCACUCCCACUGCUUCACUUGACUAGCNNNNN